CACAACACAAACAACACAAAGUAUAGUGGUUCGGUGCUCUCCUUAGCACCUACGUCCACUCCCCAAGCGACCCCUUGGGAAUUCACUAUAAUCUCGCGGAUUACAGUUGGAUUGUUUUCCGGGCUCACAAUCCAAAAACUUUUGUUGGUUUUACGGGCUCACCAACGAACCUUUACAGUUUGGUUUUCCGGGUUCACCAAAAACUUUUGUUGGUUUUACAGGCUCACCAACGAACCUUUACAAUUGGUUUUCCGGGUUCACCAAUCAACCUACUUCGUUGGUUUUCCG
rnacentral:lncRNA from 1 species